rnacentral:rRNA from 1 species
AUUGAACGCUGGCGGCAUGCCUUACACAUGCAAGUCGAACGGCAGCACGGGUGCUUGCACCUGGUGGCGAGUGGCGAACGGGUGAGUAAUACAUCGGAACAUGUCCUGUAGUGGGGGAUAGCCCGGCGAAAGCCGGAUUAAUACCGCAUACGAUCUACGGAUGAAAGCGGGGGACCUUCGGGCCUCGCGCUAUAGGGUUGGCCGAUGGCUGAUUAGCUAGUUGGUGGGGUAAAGGCCUACCAAGGCGACGAUCAGUAGCUGGUCUGAGAGGACGACCAGCCACACUGGGACUGAGACACGGCCCAGACUCCUACGGGAGGCAGCAGUGGGGAAUUUUGGACAAUGGGCGAAAGCCUGAUCCAACAAUGCCGCGUGUGUGAAGAAGGCCUUCGGGUUGUAAAGCACUUUUGUCCGGAAAGAAAUCCUUGGCCCUAAUACGGUCGGGGGAUGACGGUACCGGAAGAAUAAGCACCGGCUAACUACGUG